GACGAACCGUGCGAACGUUAUUCGGAAUCACUGGGCUUAAAGCGCGUGUAGGCGGGACGGCACGUCGGUCGCUGAAAGCCCCCGGCUCAACCGGGGAACGGGCGCCGAUACGACCGCCCUCGAGGAACGUAGGGGGACCUGGAACUUCCGGUGGAGCGGUGAAAUGCGUUGAGAUCGGAAGGAACGCCCGUGGCGAAAGCGGCGCACUGGACCACAACUGACGCUGAGGCGCGAAAGCUAGGGGAGCAAACAGGG
rnacentral:rRNA from 1 species